rnacentral:rRNA from 1 species
AGAGUUUGAUCCUGGCUCAGGAUGAACGCUGGCGGUCUGCUUAACACAUGCAAGUCGAACGGAAGUAGCAAUACUUUAGUGGCGGACGGGUGAGUAACGCGUGAGAAUCUACCUUCAGGACGGAGACAACAGUUGGAAACGACUGCUAACCCCCGAUGUACCGCAAGGGCAAAUAUUUAUAGCCUGAAGAAGAGCUCGCGUCCGAUUAGCUAGUUGGGGGGGUAAAAGCCCACCAAGGCGACGAUCGGUAGCUGGUCUGAGAGGACGAUCAGCCACACUGGGACUGAGACACGGCCCAGACUCCUACGGGAGGCAGCAGUGGGGAAUUUUCCGCAAUGGGCGCAAGCCUGACGGAGCAAGACCGCGUGGGGGAGGAAGGCUCUUGGGUUGUAAACCCCUUUUCUCUGGGAAGAACAAAAUGACGGUACCAGAGAAUCAGCAUCGACUCCCGCU